rnacentral:rRNA from 1 species
GACGAACGCUGGCGGCGUGCUUAACACAUGCAAGUCGAACGGAAAGGCCCUGCUUUUGUGGGGUGCUCGAGUGGCGAACGGGUGAGUAACACGUGAGUAACCUGCCCUUGAUUUUGGGAUAACUUCAGGAAACUGGGGCUAAUACCGGAUAGGAGCUCCUGCUGCAUGGUGGGGGUUGGAAAGUUUCGGCGGUUGGGGAUGGACUCGCGGCUUAUCAGCUUGUUGGUGGGGUAGUGGCUUACCAAGGCUUUGACGGGUAGCCGGCCUGAGAGGGUGACCGGCCACAUUGGGACUGAGAUACGGCCCAGACUCCUACGGGAGGCAGCAGUGGGGAAUAUUGCACAAUGGGCGGAAGCCUGAUGCAGCAACGCCGCGUGCGGGAUGACGGCCUUCGGGUUGUAAACCGCCUUCGCCUGUGACGAAGCGUGAGUGACGGUAAUGGGUAAAGAAGCACCGGCUAACUACGUG